UAGGUUAGUUGUCAUCACCUUGCUCAGGCAUUUCCUUCAGAACUCCCUUCCGUAUCAACUCCUCUCUGCUUUGUCUUGUUGAAAUCUUCCUUUCCAACACUUAGAAAAAGAGAAAGCACAGGUAAAAUCUCCCCUCCCAGCUGUUUGGGGAAGAGACCCUUCUGCCCUGAUCCUGUGAUGUGCCUGGUCCUUUUCCAUCAUAGACCAAAGGGAUAUGCUACAAAAAAGAUACACAAGUAUAUUCAGAUCUCAAAUCUGAAUAUUAGAAGACGGAAUGACUUCACACGUGCAGCCUUGCAGGAGGGUGCCAGAGUUUGACGUCAUGGUCUCAAAUCCAGCAGAGUCAACAUGUUUAUGCAGCUGCAUGUUAUCUCAAUUCACUGACAAGAACAAUAACUCCUGGACUUGGUACAGUGUAAAUAAAACUGCUUAUUUCUAAAGCUUAUUGGAAAAAAUCCUGUGAGUGGUAAAAUGUUUGAGCCUCUAGUUAAAAGUCAAUUUUGAUAUCAAUGUGAUAGUUAACCAAAACUCUCAAAUUAUAUACCGCGUAUCUUUUUUUCCUUAAACAAAAACAAAGAUUGAAAAACAGAUUUUUUUCUUUUUGUUUUACUUGGGAAGAAAAAGAAUGCAACUAAUCCUCAAUAGAUGGACAGUAAUGGUCCUCUGAGCAAUCCAAUGAAUUGGCAUUGUAGGCAUUUGCCUUGCCAUACAUCUGGUGUUUUAACUUACAGAAACUGUAUCUUGACAAAAUGUAUUUG